rnacentral:rRNA from 1 species
AUUGAACGCUGGCGGCAGGCCUAACACAUGCAAGUCGAACGUGUGGCGGACGGGUGAGUAAUGUCUGGGAAACUGCCUGAAGGAGGGGGAUAACAACUGGAAAUGGUAGCUAAUACCGCAUACCAUCGGAUGUGCCUAGAAGGGAGUAGCUAGUAGGUGGGGUAAAGGCGCACCUAGGCGACGAUCCCUAGCUGGUCUGAGAGGCUGACCUGCCAAGCUGGAACGGGGGCGCGGUCCGGCCUCCUGGGGCGGGCAGCAGUGGGGAAUAUUUCACAGUGGGCGCAGUGCUGAUUUAGGCAUGCCGCGUGUAUGCAGGAGGCCGUCAGGUUGUGAGGUUCUGACAGCGUGAAGGCGUUACCCGCAGAAGAAGCACCGGCUAACUCCGUGCCAGCCGCCGCGGUAAUUC